rnacentral:lncRNA from 1 species
UUUAAGAUCCCUUCCAACUCUUAUCUCUGAUCCUAUGAAACUGAAUAAACCUAUCCCGGAUUAGACAUCAUGGAAAGGAAUGCACACAUACAGGUUCUCUGGGUCUGCUUCUGCUCUCCACCUUUUUCCUAUAAAGAAUCUAUUGAGAGUUCAGAACCAUGACAUUCAGAUGCCUGCCUUUCAUGUUUGGGUGUCCCCACAGUUUGAAAGGAAGUUCCAGCCAAGAGAUUCUGAGCAGAUCAUGGGCUCAUCAUGCAAAGGAACCUAACAUCUCUGACUUGGAAUAUAUGUCAUGGAUCUGAAAGGCUUGGGGACAUAAUUGCUUUACAAUGUAGAAGCAGAGACAAAACUACUUUUACAACAAAGCCUGAAGAGACAGACAAAGGGGACACAAGACCCUCUUGCACAAGACAAUGGGGAUGUGGAUUUAAUAUGUUAUUUCACUCAUAUAAGGAAUUCUCGGAUGAGGAAACUCCCUUUCCCAAUGCAGGUUGGUAACUUCCCUUCAAUUUAUAGUCUUAUAGAGUUUCCUAGUACACUGAGA